UUGAACGCUGGCGGCAGGCCUAACCCAUGCAAGUCGAGCGGAUGAAGGGAGCUUGCUCCUGGAUUCAGCGGCGGACGGGUGAGUAAUGCCUAGGAAUCUGCCUGGUAGUGGGGGAUAACGUCCGGAAACGGGCGCUAAUACCGCAUACGUCCUGAGGGAGAAAGUGGGGGAUCUUCGGACCUCACGCUCUCAGAUGAGCCUAGGUCGGAUUAGCUAGUUGGUGGGGUAAAGGCCUACCAAGGCGACGAUCCGUAACUGGUCUGAGAGGAUGAUCAGUCACACUGGAACUGAGACACGGUCCAGACUCCUACGGGAGGCAGCAGUGGGGAAUAUUGGACAAUGGGCGAAAUCCUGAUCCAGCCAUGCCGCGUGUGUGAAGAAGUUCUUCGGAUUGUAAAGCACUUUAAGUUGGGAGGAAGGGCAGUAAGUUAAUACCUUGCUGUUUUGACGUUACCAACAGAAUAAGCACCGGCUAACUUCGUG
rnacentral:rRNA from 1 species